rnacentral:misc_RNA from 1 species
ACCAUUUCUCAGUUCAUUCAUUAUCUUGCUAGUUUCUUCAUUAGCAAACUCCUUAGUUAAUUCUAGUUUUUCGCUGUUCCCCUCAUUUUUGCCAGGUAAUUGAGUUGCUCCAAGGCUCUUAUCAUUACCCAACUCACAUGCCUGAUUCAAUACACUGUGAUCCUUCCCCAUCUUGUUUAGUGCCUUCUGUUUUCCACUCUCUCCAACAUCUAUAUGCUUUGCCUCUGUUUCUUCCCACUCACAUGUGUCUUGAGAUGAGGUCCUAUUCUCUUCUGGCUUAUGGUCCUCUUUUAGUGCCACUUCACUUACUUCUGCUUCCUGAGCCCUUCUUGAAGCCAUGCAUUUAUCUUGUUGCUCGCAUAACUCUUCUAGUCUCUUUCCAACUUCUCUUUCUAAAGCCUUUAGUUCAAUUUCUUCUCUUUCAAAAGUCUCCUUGCACCUCUUCUCACUUCCCUCUUUUUCACGAGGCUCACUCUUCUCAUUUUCUUCUUUUUCAUGGACCUCUCUUUGUCUCUUUUCAUUCUCUUCAUGUUCAACAGCUGCUUUUAGUCUCCUCUCAUUCUGUUCCUUCUCAGCCUCUUUUAGCUUUUUCUCAUUUUCUUCUCUUUCUCUCUUUGCAUUUUCUUCCCGUUCGAUGACCUCUCUUCGCCUUCUCUGUCUCUCUUCCACCUCAACAAUCUCUUUCAUCCUCCUUUCAUUCUCUUCCUUCUCCAGAGCCUCUUUUAAUCUCUUCUCAUUUUCUUCUCUUACACGAGCCUCUCUCUGUCUCUUCUCAUUUUCUUCUCUUUCACGAGCCUCUCUCUUUCUCUUUUCAUUUUCUUCUCUUUCACGGGCAUCUCU